AAGGUGAUGGAAAAAAACAGUGGUCCUGAGACACAUGGCUGCAGACUUGGUGGCUUCAGGUCUCUGGAAUAAGGUGCAACUCUGGGAGGAAACCGUGACAACCCAGCUCAAGUCAGGUGUGAUAAUGGGCAUGGCUAUGUAAUGGAGCUGACAAAAAGAAUUUCACCAACAGCUGUGAAUGCACUUUAAGAGAUCUCUCACUGUAGGUGUGUUGUAGCCUCCUUUGCUUACAUAAAAGGAAGAAGAAUUGAGAAGGGAAGAGAAGAAGGUAUGAUACAAGCACAAGCCAGGAAGGCAGCAUGUACAGCAAGAUAGACUGGUACAGAUUUUCAUAGUAAACAAAGAUCUAUGCCAUCAAGUGCUUGAGGUGACUAGUAUUUCCAUCUUCUU